rnacentral:lncRNA from 1 species
GAACAGGUUGAAAAGGGCAUGAGGAAGAAGGUCUUUCGCCCUGGGUAGGGGAGAUGGGGGUUAAUCUCUCUCUAUGCAAUCAGGCUCUAAAAUUGGCUGCUUCCCGGAACAGAAACGGCAGGAGUUGGCAUCAGAAUGCAGCAACUUGAUUCCUGGCUACUUACCAGUUCCGUGACCUGAGGGUCCAGCACAUGGUAUGUGCACAGACAUGUUGUUUGAAUGAAUGAAGAUUUUCCCACCUGGGUCUGCUGCCUCCUUCAUGUUUUACCACCUGGUGUCACUUCAGAUUCUGAAACUAUCUGUGGCUCAUCUACUUAGGGAGGACACUGAUGUGGACAUUGCAGAAUAUCAGCUCCAGUUUGAUAAGGUGGUGCACAAUGAUGAGAGAGAGGACUUUGAGGGUUUUCUUCCUAGGUGCUCAAGUAGCUAAAAAAUAAAUAAAUAAAAAAAUAGAAUAC